GGUCGGAACUUCGGUUCCGGCUUACGUGGCGCACGGGUGAGUAACACGUGGGAAUCUGCCCAUCUAUGGGGAAUAACUGCGGGAAACUGCAGCUAAUACCGCAUACGCCCUUCGGGGGAAAGGCUUCGGCCGUAUUAAGAUGAGCCCGCGUCCGAUUAGCCCGUUGGUCCGGUAAUGGCCUACUUAAACGACGAUCGGUAGCUGGUCUGAGAGGAUGAUCAGCCACACUGGGACUGAGACACGGCCCAGACUCCUACGGGAGGCAGCAGUGGGGAAUAUUGGACAAUGGGCGAAAGCCUGAUCCAGCAAUGCCGCGUGAGUGAUGAAGGUCUUCGGAUUGUAAAGCUCUUUCGACGGGGAAGAUAGGGACGGUACCCGUAGAAGAAGCCCCGGC
rnacentral:rRNA from 1 species